rnacentral:ribozyme from 1 species
CCCCAGUGAUGAGCUCACACCUUAACGCGGUGCUGGGGUACAGUAAUCCUGGUCUCAGGAUGAAGCGAAGAUGAGC